UAGUGUUGGCGAAGACGCAGGUGGCGCGAGGACCGAUCCAUCGAGCCCGAGCGACCACUAAGAGCGUGGCCGUUGUCGUGUGAGGCCGCGCCUUUUGCGUGUGUCAGUCUUCCCGUCGCAUCUGCAGUUGGAAGUGUUGCCUUGCCAUAUGGCACCAAGAAGUCGUGAUAUAGUAAACGCCUAUAGAAAAUGUGAUUAUUUGAAGGUCAAGCUUUAGAAGUGAGACUAAUGUGAAGUUCAUACAGACAUGUUUCACUGAACUGGUUACAAGUGAACUAGCAAAGAUCGCUUUGGUACAAGACUGUGAUGUAACGCCAAGCCAAGACACUUGCCUUAAAAAUAGUGCAGUACAAAUUCCCAAUGCUGUGAUCGCUCAUCGUUCAAUUUUAAGACUAUUAAAGAGACGCUGAUCCACAAGAAGAAAGUACAAUUAUCGACGUGAUAAAAAUAGAUAAGAUUUACAAACACACUUUUAUUCGUUGUUUUCGCUGAACGC